rnacentral:rRNA from 1 species
GUCGAACGGCAGCCCGGGGGCAACCCUGGUGGCGAGUGGCGAACGGGUGAGUAAUACAUCGGAACGUGUCCUGGAGUGGGGGAUAGCCCGGCGAAAGCCGGAUUAAUACCGCAUACGCUCUAUGGAGGAAAGCGGGGGAUCUUCGGACCUCGCGCUCAAGGGGCGGCCGAUGGCGGAUUAGCUAGUUGGUAGGGUAAAGGCCUACCAAGGCGACGAUCCGUAGCUGGUCUGAGAGGACGACCAGCCACACUGGGACUGAGACACGGCCCAGACUCCUACGGGAGGCAGCAGUGGGGAAUUUUGGACAAUGGGGGCAACCCUGAUCCAGCAAUGCCGCGUGUGUGAAGAAGGCCUUCGGGUUGUAAAGCACUUUUGUCCGGAAAGAAAUCCUCUGGGUUAAUACCUCGGG